AUGAAGCCACAUGGAGACUCAGAGGCUAUUUGAGAAUUCACCAAAAAAAGCCUAUUCAUAGGAGGUGGCAAUGUCUGAUGUUCGGAUCACUAGAUUAAUGAGUUUUUCGGUGAGAGGAUACUGUGCUGUGAGAGAAAAGUCUCAUUAACAAUUACGCUCGGUUUGUCACCGAUGAGGACGUGUCAGCAGAUCAGGACAGCAAAAACCUGCCAGUACGGAUCGGGAAGCCCCCCUCACUGACGUAGCCGUAAUUAUUCAGACCACUUUACGUUACAGAGGCAGCGCUGAACUUCCAGCAACGAGAAUCUUCAUGGAGCUGCUGUUCUGACAAGUUCUGGAAGGUGUGGUUUGAGGUGUUGUUCCUGGACUCUUAGCUCCAAGCCUGGGCUUAAAGCUGUUUCACUGGUUCUGUGAACGCCACAAUACGCUGUCCACAAAUUCAUUUAUUUUAGGGACACCAGCAGAAAACAGUUUCUACUGUUUGCAAGUAAGGACCCCAACUAGUAAUUCACUCUAAGGAAGAGCCUCCCAAACCUUCUCUAUUCAAAGCAUCCGAAAUUCCGUAGUGUUUUUCACAGCAUGCUGAGGCCAAAAGAAAUGUCUGACAGUAUGUAUUUGUUAAAUUCAUAUGGGUACUUAAAAUGUAUUAAACAGGUUCAAACAUCUUAAUGAGUAUUUACACCCUAACAACUUAGUCGUCAUAUGAAAAAUAAUGUAGCUAUACUGAAAGCAAAAGUAUGGAUUUCGCUCUUACCUAAGCACAGUCACUUACCACGGGACACGCGCACCUGUUGGCCACUGAACAACCUGUUUAAUCUUGGACUGGACUGAGUGCAGUCCCCUCCUUUCCCAUCGGCGUUGAUGUUCCUGUACAACCUUUUUAUCCUCGUGGGAGCCAAAAAUCUGGUUUACUGAGGUAUGACGUCAUCCCAUGAAAAGGAACGUGAUGUAAUGUUGAGACGAAUUACUUGGAGCUGGUAGUUCAUGAGAUGGCCCACUGAUGUGGAGUGUGGCUGUGCCCCCUUCAAGUGUGCAAGAUAUCCCGUGUUCCCCCGU